AUCAUAGAAUAUUAUUCAACACCACCCCUACUGCACUUACUUAUAUACGGGCACGCGGGAAAAAUAAUGUUUCGCCUCCCACGCAUCUUAGUGAAAAAUUAAUUAUUAUGCGGCGCUCGUGUGUGAACACGUCAGUUUGCGCUCGUAUUAUCAUUUAGUUUUCCGAGAGAAUACCGACAACGGAGACCCCGGAGACAGUUAAUAAUGUCUCCACGCACGAGCCCUCGGAGACAAUUUAUUUCAUCAGAUUCGAUAGGAUUUUAAAGUGUGUUCUGUAUACCACGGGUCACGAGCGUUCCAAAAAUCGUAUAAUAUUAUCUUAAAAUAAUAAUAAUAAUUAUACAAAUGUAUAUAGUCACGUAGGCAAAACUCAACGAUAAACUUGGGCGUUUC